rnacentral:rRNA from 1 species
AUUGAACGCUGGCGGCAUGCUUUACACAUGCAAGUCGAACGGUAACAGGCCGCAAGGUGCUGACGAGUGGCGAACGGGUGAGUAAUGCAUCGGAACGUGCCCAGUCGUGGGGGAUAACGCAGCGAAAGCUGUGCUAAUACCGCAUACGAUCUAUGGAUGAAAGCGGGGGACCGUAAGGCCUCGCGCGAUUGGAGCGGCCGAUGUCAGAUUAGGUAGUUGGUGGGGUAAAGGCUCACCAAGCCAACGAUCUGUAGCUGGUCUGAGAGGACGACCAGCCACACUGGGACUGAGACACGGCCCAGACUCCUACGGGAGGCAGCAGUGGGGAAUUUUGGACAAUGGGCGCAAGCCUGAUCCAGCAAUGCCGCGUGCAGGAAGAAGGCCUUCGGGUUGUAAACUGCUUUUGUACGGAACGAAAAGGUUUGGGUUAAUACCCUGGGCCGAUGACGGUACCGUAAGAAUAAGCACCGGCUAACUACGUGCCAGCAGCCGCCGUAAGAC